rnacentral:rRNA from 1 species
AACGAACGCUGGCGGCAGGCCUAACACAUGCAAGUCGAGCGCGCCCUUCGGGGUGAGCGGCGGACGGGUGAGUAACGCGUGGGAACGUGCCCUUUUCUACGGAAUAGCCUCGGGAAACUGAGAGUAAUACCGUAUACGCCCUUUGGGGGAAAGAUUUAUCGGAAAAGGAUCGGCCCGCGUUGGAUUAGGUAGUUGGUGGGGUAAUGGCCUACCAAGCCGACGAUCCAUAGCUGGUUUGAGAGGAUGAUCAGCCACACUGGGACUGAGACACGGCCCAGACUCCUACGGGAGGCAGCAGUGGGGAAUCUUAGACAAUGGGGGCAACCCUGAUCUAGCCAUGCCGCGUGAGUGAUGAAGGCCUUAGGGUUGUAAAGCUCUUUCAGCUGGGAAGAUAAUGACGGUACCAGCAGAAGAAGCCCCGGCUAACUCCGG